CCUACGGGUGGCAGCAGUGAGGAAUAUUGGUCAAUGGGCGCGAGCCUGAACCAGCCAAGUAGCGUGAAGGAUGACUGCCCUACGGGUUGUAAACUUCUUUUAUAAAGGAGUAAAGUGAGGCACGUGUUCCUUUUUGUAUGUACUUUAUCAAUAAGGAUCGGCUAACUCCGUUCCAGCAGCCGCGGUAAUACGGAGGAUCCGAGCGUUAUCCGGAUUUAUUGGGGUUAAAGGGAGCGUAGAUGGGUUGUUAAGUCAGUUGUGAAAGUUUGCGGCUCAACCGUAAAAUUGCAAUUGAAACUGGCAGUCUGGAGUGCAGGUGAGGAAAGCGGAAUUCGUGGUGUAGCGGUGAAAUGCGUAGAUAUCAGGAAGAACACCAAUUGCGAAGGCAGCUUACUAAA
rnacentral:rRNA from 1 species